rnacentral:rRNA from 1 species
UACAGAGGUCCCGAGCGUUGUUCGGAUUCACUGGGCGUAAAGGGUGCGUAGGCGGGUCUUUAAGUCAGGGGUGAAAUCCUGGAGCUCAACUCCAGAACUGCCUUUGAUACUGAGGAUCUUGAGUAUGGGAGAGGUGAGUGGAACUGCGAGUGUAGAGGUGAAAUUCGUAGAUAUUCGCAAGAACACCAGUGGCGAAGGCGGCUCACUGGCCCAUUACUGACGCUGAGGCACGAAAGCGUGGGGAGCAAACAGG